rnacentral:rRNA from 1 species
UACGUAGGCGGAAAAUUAAGUCAGUAGUGAAAUCCUGCAGCUUAACUGUAGAACUGUUAUUGAUACUGGUUUUCUUGAAUAUAGUUGAAGUAGGCGGAAUGUGUAAUGUAGCGGUGAAAUGCUUAGAUAUUACACAGAACACCGAUUGCGAAGGCAGCUUACUAAGCUAUGAUUGACGCUGAGGUACGAAAGCGUGGGGAGCGAACAGGAUUAGAUACCCUGGUAGUCC